CCUCGCGAGGGUCUUAGGCUCUGCCCGCGGGUCGGGAAAUCGCGCCGCGGCGCCCUCUACAGGCUCCCGGCCACUGGGGAAUCUUGGCGACUCACUGCGAGGACACGUCGAAGCGGACAUCCCGGUCCUCCCAAAGCGCAUCCAGCACCGACAUGGUGACCGCGGCGGGGGAGGCCUAACGGCGUCUCGCCGGCUCCAAGACAACGGGCCGCCUCUGGCACGACGUCUACGGCGGGCGCCGAGACCCAAAAUUCCUCAAGGUAGUGUGCGCGCUUUCCCGGCCCUGUGGUGUAGUUAAGCGGAUUUGAGGCUCCAGGCAGGUUUCCGUGCCUCAGAGAAGCCGAACUGGCACCGGCGCAGGAGCGGGUGCUUGACUUCUGAAUGACCUUCCGCACCUCCAGACUCGCCUCCUUAAGCCGUUCCUCCCCGCCCACCCCGCUUCCGUUCCUCUCCCUACACUGUCGGGAAAUUUAGCCUUAGAGACUUCCCAGGCGGUUCACUGGUUAGGACUCCGCGCCUCCACUACUGGUGGCCCUGGUUCCAUCCCUGGUGGGCCAACUAAGAUCCCGCAAGCCGCGUGGUGCGGUCUGAAAAAAGAAAGAGAGAAAUGCAGACUUAAAACUCGAAAUUCCUCGUCUGGUUCUGCCUCCUCCGGCGCAGCCCACCUCAUGCCGUCCUCGCGCCUUCUGCUUGCUCUCCAACCAGGCAGGGCUCAGCGCCUUUGGAGGGCGCCCCCUUUCUCUGUCUGGAACUCUCGUUCUCCAGAUCUCUACCUGGCCCGUCCUUUGUCACUUCAGCCUCAGCUCAGAAGUGAACUAAAGCGGUUCUUAACCUUUCUUCUCUCGCUCUGCUGUUAGUACCUUGAGGACAGAGUUCCCUUUGAACCCACGCGAGCACAGAGUAGGCAUUCAGCUGGAUCUCAGCUGACUGGAGCAAGAGAGACUCUCCUGCUUGCCUUGAAGAAGCCACCUGCUGUGAUACCGCCUUUAGGGCCAGCGGUCUCACGUCCUAUAGGUGCAAGGAGCUGAAAUCUGCCAACAACCUGAAUGAGCUUGGAAGCAGAUCUUUCCCCAGUAAGACUUCUGAUGAGGCCUUAGCCCCAGGAAAUAUCUGGAUUGCAGCCUGGUUGUGACCCUAAGCAGAAAACCCAGCUUUGAUGAAAUAGUGUCCAAGUUAUGAGAGAGCCACGUGUCUAGGAACUGAGGGCAGCCUUUAAGAGCCGAGAGCCAGCAAGAAAACAAUAACUCCAGUCAUCCAACCACAAGGAACCAAUUCUGCUAAGGAACCUGAAUGAGCCUGGAAGGGGACCCCAAACCUCAGAUGAGAUCACACCCCUGCAGACACCUUGAUUCCAGUAGGGCUUCCCUGGUGGCGCAGUGGUUAAGAAUCCGCCUGCCAGUGCAGGGGACACAGGUUCGAGCCCUGGUCCCGGAAGAUCCCACAUGCCGCGGAGCAACCAAGCCCGUGCGCCACAACUACUGAGCCUGCGCUCUAGAGCCCGCAAGCCACAACUGCUGAAGCCUGCGCGCCUAGAGCCCAUGCUCUGCAACAGGAGAAACUAUCGCAAUGAGAAGCCUGCACACCACAACGGAGAGUAGCCCCCGCUCACUGCAACUAGAGAAAGCCCAAACACAGCAAUGAAGACCCAAUGCAGCCAAAAAUAAAUAAAUAAAAUAAAUUUAUUUAAAAAAUUA